rnacentral:rRNA from 1 species
AUUAGAUAAAAAACCAAUGCCCUUCGGGGCUUUCUGGUGAUUCAUAAUAACUUAACGAAUCGCAUGGCCUUGAGCCGGCGAUGGUUCAUUCAAAUUUCUGCCCUAUCAACUUUCGAUUGUAGGAUAGAGGCCUACAAUGGUUUCAACGGGUAACGGAGAAUUAGGGUUCGGUUCCGGAGAGGGAGCCUGAGAAACGGCUACCACAUCCAAGGAAGGCAGCAGGCGCGCAAAUUACCCAAUCCCGACACGGGGAGGUAGUGACAAUAAAUACUGAUACAGGGCUCUUUUGGGUCUUGUAAUUGGAAUGAGUACAAUUUAAAUCCCUUAACGAGGAACAAUUGGAGGGCAAGUCUGGUGCCAGCAGCCGCGGUAAUUCCAGCUCCAAUAGCGUAUAUUAAAGUUGUUGCAGUUAAAAAACUCGUAAUUGAACCUUGGGUCUGGCUGGCCGGUCCGCCUCACCGCGUGCACUGGUCCGGCCGGACCUUUCCUCUUGGGGAUCCGCAUGCCCUUUACUGGG